AGUGAUCAAAGAUUAAGUCGCUCUGGAUAAGAGCGUCUGCUAAAUGUCUUAAA
rfam:Salmo salar isolate Sally breed double haploid chromosome ssa06, whole genome shotgun sequence.